rnacentral:lncRNA from 1 species
ACACGUGGAUCCAAGAUGGCGGCGGCGAUGGUGAGUGAAGGAGACUCUGGGAACCGGAGCUGGAGCAGGGCCCCCUGGAUAGCCCAGGACCUUCCAGCGCCCCACGCCUGGUUCCCAGCCUCCUCCAGAACCCCUGCUCGGGUUACCCUGGACUGGGUUGGCCUCUACAAAGUCUCUUUCUCUAGCCUUGGCAUGGCAUCUAGGCUUGUCAGGGCCUGGAGUUUUAGGGGAGGUGCCGCUUGGAAGGAAGACUUUGGCUAAUGCCUUCACGGUUCUCAUUUCGGCUUCCAUUCCCGCCCCUUGUCACCUCUAUUUCCCAAUCCUUCCCCUCCAGGCUUUGUCUCCUCCCGAGAGUCCCCCGUUAUUCCUUCGCUCCUCCUCCUCACGUUCAUACUCUGUUCUCUCCACAUACCCAUCAGCCUAACCAGUCUACGGGUUGCUA